CNUAGGAACUUCGGCAAUGGACGAAAGUCUGACCGAGCAACGCCGCGUGAGUGAAGAAGGUUUUCGGAUCGUAAAACUCUGUUUGUUAGAGAAGAACAAGGAUGAGAGUAACUGUUCAUCCCUUGACNGUAUCUAACCAGAAAGCCACGGCUAACUACGUGCCAGCAGCCGCGGUAAUACGUAGGUGGCAAGCGUUGUCCGGAUUUAUUGGGCGUAAAGCGAGCGCAGGCGGUUUCUUAAGUCUGAUGUGAAAGCCCCCGGCUCAACCGGGGAGGGUCAUUGGAAACUGGGAGACUUGAGUGCANAAGAGGAGAGUGGAAUUCCAUGUGUAGCGGUGAAAUUGCGUANAUAUAUGGAGGAACACCAGUGGCGAAGGCGGCUCUCUGGUCUGUAACUGACGCUGANGCUCGAAAGCGUGGGGAGC
rnacentral:rRNA from 1 species